rnacentral:rRNA from 1 species
CCUACGUGAGGCAGCAGUGAGGAAUAUUGGUCAAUGGGCGCUAGCCUGAACCAGCCAAGUAGCGUGAAGGAUGACUGCCCUAGGGGUUGUAAACUUCUUUUAUAUGGGAAUAAAGUGCAGUACGUAUACUGCUUUGCAUGUACCUUAUGAAUAAGGAUCGGCUCACUCCGUGCCAGCAGCCGCGGUAAUACGGAGGAUGCGAGCGUUAACCGGAUUUAUUUGGUUUAAAGGGAGCGUAGGCGGGUUUUUAAGUCAGUUGGGAAAGUUUGGGGCUCAACCCUACAAGUGCAGUUGAUACUGGCAGGCUUGAGUGCGGCAGAGGUAGGCGGAAUUCGUGGUGUAGCGGUGAAAUGCUUAGAUAUCACGAAGAACUCCGAUUGCGAAGGCAGCCUGCUGGACUGUAACUGACGCUGAUGCACGAAAGUGUGGGUAUCAAACAGGAUUAGAUACCCGGGUAGUC